CUCUGGGGUGCCGUGUCGCCACAGGACUUGUUUCUCAAGGCCCAGGAUAGUGUUUGGGGCAGUGGUAUGGGGCACAGCAUAUGUUUCCAGCCACCCGGUGGUUGCUUCCACCACGGUAAGCACAUGGCGCUUGCCUUGGUGGGUUGGUGGCAGUGUGAUAUAGUCAAUCUGCCAGGCCUCCCUAUAUUUAUACUUCAACCAUCAUCCUCCAUACCAAAGAGGCUUUAACCCCUUGGCUUGCUUAAUUGCAGCACGUUUCACACUCAUGAAUAACCUGGGCAAUAGUGUCCAUUGUUAAGUCCACCCCUCGAUCACGGGCCCAUCUAUAUGUUGCAUCUCUGCCCUGGUGGCCUGAAGUGUCAUGGGCCCACCAGGCCAAAAAUAAUUCACCUUUAUGUUGCCACUCUAAUUCCAUCUGAGCCACUUCAUUUCUGCAGCUUGUCAUAGGGGACUCCAUACAGCUGCCUUCCAUCUCCAGCGCUUCCAAAGCACUGGAGGGACCCACUGGACUAGAUACUUGCCCAUACUCUCCCACACACCCUGCCACUCAUGACUGUCCAGCCUCGGGGAAAAUCUCUUUGAUGUAUGGGGAGCUUCCACUUGCUGCCAUCUCCAAUCUGUAGGUAUUUAUGCAAUACAGUGGGAUUGUGACUGGAAACUGGCCAGCCCUGGAGUCAGCCAGACUGUGUAUGAAAGAGAGAUGUGAAUUCCUGCAGCUUGAGGCCUUCUUCCUUUUUUGCCAAAAGAGGAUGGAUUUGGGGGGAGUGCACACUCUGCUGCCCAGAAGGGAAGAGCUUCAGCGGCUCAAGGCACAUGAAUUUUAACAUGACUUAAAGCUCCAGACAAAACCACUGCAGAAAAGGUUUUCCUCUGGGAUCAGGUAUUACAGGGGUACAGAGUGACACAGUGUCUGUGCAUACAUAGAACCUUCAUAUCUGUGGUUUCUGAAGCAAUGUCUAUAGACUAACUGCAGUUAGUGCCUCCUGUCACUGUCCACUUGCAGUACAGUAGUUAUCUCAAAGAUGAGAAUUAGGUACUGUGCCCUGUAGAGUUAGGUGGAUGCUCUAUUAUAGCACUUCAGGUAUCCCCACAUUAAAUCCCACAGCCCUCCUCUUAAAAGAAUGCUUGAACUGCAUGCCAUCCUAUUGGAAUAUUAAGCACUGAUUAAUAUGAGAAAUAAAUAUGGAAAGCCCA